rnacentral:rRNA from 1 species
UCAAGCGAAUAAGCGCACACGGUGGAUGCCUUGGCGGUCAGAGGCGAUGAAGGACGUGGCAGCCUGCGAAAAGUAUCGGGGAGCUGGCAACAAGCUUUGAUCCGGUAAUGUCCGAAUGGGGAAACCCACCCGCUUGCGGGUAUCCUGCAGUGAAUACAUAGCUGCUGGAAGCGAACCUGGUGAACUGAAAUAUCUAAGUAACCAGAGGAAAAGAAAUCAACCGAGAUUCCGUAAGUAGCGACGAGCGAACGCGGACUAGCCCUUAAGCUGAUUUGGUUCUAGGAAAACGCUCUGGAAAGAGCGGCCAUAGAAGGUGAUAGCCCUGUAUCUGAAAGGGCCAUUUCAGUGAAGACGAGUAGGGCGGGGCACGUGAAACCCUGUCUGAACAUGGGGGGACCAUCCUCCAAGGCUAAAUACUACUGACCGACCGAUAGUGAACCAGUACCGUGAGGGAAAGGCGAAAAGAACCCCGGAGAGGGGAGUGAAAUAGAACCUGAAACCGUGUGCGUACAAGCAGUAGGAGCUCCGCAAGGAGUGACUGCGUACCUUUUGUAUAAUGGGUCAGCGACUUACUGUUCGUGGCAAGCUUAACCGUAUAGGGGAGGCGAAGGGAAACCGAGUCUGAUAAGGGCGCAUAGUCGCGGGCAGUAGACCCGAAACCGGGUGAUCUAGUCAUGCCCAGGGUGAAGGUGCGGUAACACGCACUGGAGGCCCGAACCCACUCCCGUUGCAAAGGUAGGGGAUGAGGUGUGAUUAGGAGUGAAAAGCUAAUCGAACCCGGAGAUAGCUGGUUCUCCUCGAAAGCUAUUUAGGUAGCGCCUCAUAUGUAUCCUCUCGGGGGUAGAGCACUGUUAUGGCUAGGGGGUCAUCGCGACUUACCAAACCAUUGCAAACUCCGAAUACCGAGACGGACUGUAUGGGAGACACACGGCGGGUGCUAACGUCCGUCGUGAAAAGGGAAACAACCCAGACCCACAGCUAAGGUCCCAAAUUCACUGCUAAGUGGAAAACCAUGUGGAAAGGCACAGACAGCCAGGAGGUUGGCUUAGAAGCAGCCACCCUUUAAAGAAAGCGUAAUAGCUCACUGGUCGAGUCGGUCUGCGGGGAAGAUUUAACGGGGCUAAGCAGUGAACCGAAGCUUGGGGUGCAUACUUUGUAUGCGCGGUAGAGGAGCGUUCCGUAAGCCGUUGAAGGUGGAUUGAGAAGUCUGCUGGAGGUAUCGGAAGUGCGAAUGCUGACAUGAGUAACGAUAAUGCGGGUGAAAAACCCGCACGCCGAAAGCCCAAGGUUUCCUUGCGCAACGUUAAUCGGCGCAGGGUGAGUCGGCCCCUAAGGCGAGGACGAAAGUCGUAGUCGAUGGGAAGCAGGUUAAUAUUCCUGCACCUCGCGUAAGUGCGAUGGAGGGACGGAGAAGGUUAGGUGUACCAGGCGUUGGUUGUCCUGGGGAAAGGCGGUAGGUUUGGAUCUUUGGCAAAUCCGGGAUCCUUUAAGACCGAGCACCGAGACGAGCCUUUAUGGCGAAGUCACUGAUACCACGCUUCCAGGAAAAGCUCCUAAGCUUCAGCUUACGCAGACCGUACCGUAAACCGACACAGGUGGGUAGGAUGAGAAUUCUCAGGCGCUUGAGAGAACUCGGGUGAAGGAACUAGGCAACAUGGCACCGUAACUUCGGGAGAAGGUGCACCCUUUUUGGUGGCUCGUGCGAGCUAUAGCUGAAGAGGGUCGCAGUAACCAGGCCGCUGCGACUGUUUAUCAAAAACACAGCACUCUGCAAACACGAAAGUGGACGUAUAGGGUGUGACGCCUGCCCGGUGCUGGAAGGUUAAUUGAUGGGGUCAGCCGCAAGGCGAAGCUCUUGAUCGAAGCCCCAGUAAACGGCGGCCGUAACUAUAACGGUCCUAAGGUAGCGAAAUUCCUUGUCGGGUAAGUUCCGACCUGCACGAAUGGCGUAACGACAGCGGCGCUGUCUCCACCCGAGACUCAGUGAAAUUGAAAUCGCUGUGAAGAUGCAGCGUUCCCGUGGCAAGACGGAAAGACCCCGUGAACCUUUACUAUAGCUUUACACUGAACGUUGAGUUCGUCUGUGUAGGAUAGGUGGGAGGCUAUGAAACUGUGGCGCUAGCUGCAGUGGAGCCAUCCUUGAAAUACCACCCUGUCGUGCUUGACGUUCUAACCUGGGCCCAUUAUCUGGGUCGGGGACCGUGUAUGGUGGGUAGUUUGACUGGGGCGGUCUCCUCCUAAAGAGUAACGGAGGAGCUCGAAGGUACGCUCAGCGCGGUCGGACAUCGCGCACUGUGUGCAAAGGCAUAAGCGUGCUUGACUGCAAGAUCGACGGAUCAAGCAGGUAGGAAACUAGGACUUAGUGAUCCGGUGGUUCUGUAUGGAAGGGCCAUCGCUCAACGGAUAAAAGGUACUCCGGGGAUAACAGGCUGAUACCGCCCAAGAGUUCAUAUCGACGGCGGUGUUUGGCACCUCGAUGUCGGCUCAUCACAUCCUGGGGCUGUAGUCGGUCCCAAGGGUAUGGCUGUUCGCCAUUUAAAGUGGUACGCGAGCUGGGUUCAGAACGUCGUGAGACAGUUCGGUCCCUAUCUGCCAUGGGCGUUGGAGAUUUGAGAGGGGCUGCUCCUAGUACGAGAGGACCGGAGUGGACGAACCUCUGGUGUUCCGGUUGUCACGCCAGUGGCAUUGCCGGGUAGCUAUGUUCGGAAGCGAUAACCGCUGAAAGCAUCUAAGCGGGAAGCGCGCCUCAAGAUGAGAUCUCCCGGGGCACAAGCCCCCUGAAGGAACCAUGUAGACUACGUGGUUGAUAGGUCAGGUGUGUAAGUACAGCAAUGUAUUGAGCUAACUGAUACUAAUGAUCCGAGAGGCUUGACCAU